rnacentral:tRNA from 1 species
GAUUAAGAAGUUUUAUAACGUCAUUAUUUCAUGAUGAAGAUGUAUUAGUCUUCUUUAUCUU